CAGUCGCCACGGUAAAACAGAGGGUGCAAGCGUUAAUCGGAAUUACUGGGCGUAAAGCGCGCGUAGGUGGUUUGUUAAGUUGGAUGUGAAAUCCCCGGGCUCAACCUGGGAACUGCAUCCAAAACUGGCAAGCUAGAGUAUGGUAGAGGGUGGUGGAAUUUCCUGUGUAGCGGUGAAAUGCGUAGAUAUAGGAAGGAACACCAGUGGCGAAGGCGACCACCUGGACUGAUACUGACACUGAGGUGCGAAAGCGUGGGGAGCAAACAGGAUUAGAUACCCCUGUAGUCCCUGUCUCUUAUAC
rnacentral:rRNA from 1 species